AAAAGCCAAGUGAGAUAUAUAGCAAGUACACUAGAGCUAAAAGAUAAGAGAAACUUAGCUGAUCUCUCCAUUCAUCAAAAGGAUCGUGGCAGCCUCCAGAAGUUCGUGACUGGAUAGCCACUGUGUCCUCGGCAAGGAAUCAACUCGAGGGCAGAGUUACAGUUGGGGCAGGCUUUCUCUGUGAACAGACAGAAACUACUGAAGAAAUUGGUUAAGGACAAGGAUGCAGCCUGAGAGUAAGCAGAGCUCAAAAGCAACGUGAUGAAACUUCUCCAAAAUUCAGAUUAAAAUGUGUUGUUCAAGGAAAUGUAACAUAUAUGACCAAGCACAGCUAAAUGAUAUGAACUAGAACUGCCCACUAGUUAUAAAUGCUAAUAAUUUAAAGGACUUAAAUCCAUAUCCCCUUAAGUAUUUGCAAACAGACAUUGAUGAAAUUUGGGACUAAUCAGUCGUUGCAAUUAUGCCUUAGUCUGCACGCAAGUGACUCCAAUUUGGAAAUCAAGCCCGGAUGAAAGAAGCGGGGUCCCUUGGGCAUCGCAGCUCUCUCUGGGUGCCUCUCACUUUGUUGCUUCUGCCGAGCCUUGUCGCAUAUGGCGGGGCGGAGCUGCAGCCUGGCCCCGCCGGGCAGAGCGCAGCUCCGGGCACACACCACCACGCCCAGGCAGGACUUCUUGAGGAUCUGGCAGUUGUGGUUGUUGGUGUUGCGCAUGGCCCAGCCGCUGAGGUGCCGCUGCGCGUUCUUCUCCUCGCUCGAGUAGAUGAGCCGCACGUAGCCAUCGGGCCAUUCCUGGAAGGCAUCGAAGUGCUUGGGCUCCUGCGGCAGGGCAGGUGCGGAGGGAGGGCGAGGCAGCAAGGAGAAGAACAAGAAAACGUUAUUAGUAUAUCACAACCUGAUACUUUUGCCUUGUUCUAAAACACAUAACAGGGAGAAAUAAAAGCUUUUUCUAUGACCAGCCAAGCAGCAGAAAAAGAAAUAUUGAAAUAAUAGCUUGUUCAGAAGUGCUCUCUAAAAGGGCUAGGGCAGUCUGAGAUUCCAUAUCUGAAAAGAAAGUUGGGAUCCUUUUCUCUUUUGCAUCGUGAUCCCUUGUAGCACAGUCUGUUGACACGUAUGCCUUUUACAGUGAAGUUACCAGCUAUAAGACAUCAACCGUGCUGCCAGAAUUUACUGACUAGUCUACUAUCAGUGUGUCAAGACAAGACACAAAGCCACCCUGAUCGUGACCGCUAUUAAGUUCUCCUUGGUGUGGGACCAUGCACCUGCAGGUGGGAAACUAGAAGUUUCAGCUAUGGAAUGGCUUCUUAAAGUGCAUCUAAUAUGAUUUGAAUAAAGCCUUUCCCAAAAAAUAGAGAUAAAAAGAUUUGUCAUUGCAAAUGUACUUCCAGUAUAUGUAUAGUGGCACAGAGAAAGAACAUUUCAAUCUGGGAUUUCACAGUUUUCCAGAGUUCCUCACUAAAAUGUAAUUACCAGAACUAUGAAAAAAGAUUUUAAACUGCAAAGAUUUAUAAUGCAAUACAUAUUUAACGUAUGUAUGUACCAUAGGUGAGAGCAAUCCCAGCAAAGAGAAGGAAACUACCAGCAUUUACAGCAUCAAGACAUUCAUUAAGACAA